AACGCACAUUGCACCCCCUGGUAUUCCGGGGGGUAUGCCUGUUCGAGCGUCAUUAACAACCCUCAAGCUCUGCUUGGUAUUGGGCCCCGCCAACCUGGCGAGCCCUAAAAUCAGUGGCGGUGCCAUUUGGUUCCGAGCGUAGUAAUUCUUCUCGCUUUGGAGGCCAGGUGUGUGCUUGCCAGCAACCCCCAAUUUUUUUAAGUUUGACCUCGGAUCAGGUAGGGAUACCCGCUGAACUUAA
rnacentral:misc_RNA from 1 species